AUUGAACGCUGGCGGCAGGCCUAACACAUGCAAGUCGAGCGCGCGGCGGACGGGUGAGUAAUGUCUGGGAAACUGCCUGAUGGAGGGGGAUAACUCCUGUAAACGGUAGCUAAUACCGCAUACCCUCAGAUUUGCCCAGAUGGGAUUAUCUAUUAGGUGGGGUAACGGCUCACCUAGGCGACGAUCCCUAGCUGGUCUGAGAGGAUGACCAGCCACACUGGAACGGAGACAGGGUCCAGAAGCCUACGGGAGGCAGCAGUGGGGAAUAUUGCAAAAGGGGCGCAAGCCUGAUGCAGCCAUGCCGCGUGUGUGAAGAAGGCCUUCGGGUUGUAAAGCACUUUCAGCGGGGAGGCGUUACCCGCAGAAGAAGCACCGGCUAACUCCGUGCCAGCAGCCGCGGUAAUAC
rnacentral:rRNA from 1 species